rnacentral:lncRNA from 1 species
GUCACAAAAUGCAAUGUUCUGGGAGAACGGGAAGCAGCUCCAUUUUUUGGGGGCCCUUUACACAGCUCAAGGUCUGGGUCCCAGGGUCCACCUUCAUGUUCCACCAAUGAGUUCGUUCACAGGGGGUGGAGUGUGUAGGGGAUGUCCUGAUAUGUGUGUAAGGAAUGCAUUGUAUGACAUUGUGUUUGUAUGUGUAAGGGCUGCAAGGUGUGUUUCUGUGUAUGUACGGGAUGCAUUGAAUGUGUGUAAGGGGUGCAUUGAGUGUGUGUAAUGAAUGCAUUGUGUGUUUCUGUGUGUGUAAGGGAUGCAUUGUGUGUAACGGUUGCAUUGCUUGUGUAUGUGUGUCUGUGUGUGUAAUGCAUUGUGUGUUUCUCUGUGUGCAAGGGGUGCAUUGUGUGUAUGUGUG